CACUCUGGUCAUUGCUGAGAAGAAAAUAACAACAGAGGACUCUAAGAACUUGCCCGAUAUAAGCUGGUGUAAUCUUGAGUGUGAGCUGGAAUUCCCCUUCUUCAAAGCUCAGCUCAUCCACAAAUUGGAAAAGUAGCGUUAGACCUGGAACUGCUGAUAGCUUAAACUACGGUUUAUUGAAGAAGGCCAGGAUCAGAAACCAUAGUUUGAUCUUGGAUUAUUUAAAUAAGCCAUCGUUUAAAUUAACCACAUUUUGACCUUAUUAAACACAACAAGUCUGAACCAGGCUCAUUUGUGUAGCACUAAACUGAUUCUGAGUUCUGUUCAAACGGGACCAAUAUUUGUGGACUCCUUUGAGAACCUAGGAAAAACACUGUGGGUGGAAUUCAACAUUGUGCUAUGGUGAAUGUCUUGCAGUUUGCCAGAUGGAAGGA